UGAAAGCCCACGGCUUAACCGUGGAGGGUCAUUGGACACUGGUUUACUUGAGUACAGAAGAGGGGAGUGGAAUUCCAUGUGUAGCGGUGAAAUGCGUAGAGAUAUGGAAGAACACCAGUGGCGAAAGCGGCUCUCUGGUCUGUAACUGACGCUGAGGUUCGAAAGCGUGGGUAGCAAACAA
rnacentral:rRNA from 1 species